GGCACCGUGAUGAUCAGAAAGGGACUUAAUCCUGAAGAUUUGAUGAUUUAUAUGCAUCUGAUGUGC